GGGAGAGGUGGCUCUGAUGUGAAGGUAGAGCCUGCAGGGCUGUGCUGAUGGUGAUGUCCCCCCAUUGAUGGGACAGCUCUUCCCAAGUCCUGUGGAGGGCACUGGGACAGCAGAGCAGGAGAAUCUGCUGGACACACAUAAAGGUCUGUUCCUGUUCCUGCCACAAAAGUGUCAAUUCCCUGUGAUAUCACAUGAUGAAACUAACCCAAACGUGCUGGAAUUACCGGCAGAUUGACUGGUGGUGAGCAAAAGGUUUUCUGAUGAUAUCUGACUCAUUAACAAAUGCAUUGAUGAGGAUUAAGGCUGGUUACCUGACCCUGCUCCUGUGUUCCAGGUGGUGCUGCUGGAAGCAUCUCUGAGGCAGAAGGACUCCAACAGAACACCUGGGCUUGAGGAGUUUGUGUAGACAGAACGUUUUUCUGCCUGUUACAAAGUGAGCAGGAGGAGGAGCUGUUAAUUUUCCAACUCUCCAUCUCAGAGAUGUGAGGCACAGAGGAGCUGCUGUUGGUGUCCUGCAAGAAAAGUGCCCCAGGGUCUGAGGACACCUCCUGAUGCUGAAAUAUUGAAUUCUUAGGGGAUAAAAGGAGCUCAAAUUAACCUGCAGCCAUGGGAUACCCCUGAGAUCAAGGAUUUUGUGGAGGUCCCAAGUGGACAGGGCACUGCUGUGGCUGAGAACAUCCAAAAUCGCGGUAGGAUUUAAAAAUAAAUGAAUAAAUAAAUAAAAAAUUGGCUGUGGACUGACUGAAAUUGAGGAGCAAUCAAAAUUCUGCAAUUCACCCAAAUGGAGUGACCAGAAUUGGAAUCGCCAAAUUCUCCAAAAUUUAGAGCCAGGAAAUUCCUCCUUUGGGUUCAUCCUCAUUUUUUUUUACUGAAUUUUACACAACCCCAGUGUGGGCACUGCUGGGAUUGCUCCUGAGCUGCCCCAGCCCUGUGGUCACAAAGGUUUAUAAAAAGGUUUAUAAACAGCACAGUUUAAAGCCUCUGCUCCCCACAGCUUGGAAAGACUUCCCUCCUCAGAGACUCUCAGGGUAAAGAGGAUUUUUAAAAUACAUAAAUUUCAAAAUAUGGAACUUUAAAGCUCCUUUUGAGCUUACCAAUAAAUUCAUUAAAAAUUGCUAAGUCUUUGCUGUUAAGAAAGCACCAGUGGGGAUUAAUUAUUGUGCUCUCUUCCUGUUCCAAGAGCUUUCCCAGUUUUGCCAAGGUUUGCACUUUUCUUGUCAGAAACUCCCAAAAUCCCUGGUACAACAUCAUCCCUGUGCUGCCCAAAUUCCAGCCUGCUCCUCCUGCAGAGUGCUGGAUUUUGGAGGGUAGGAAGGGCAGGUUGCUCAGCCUGGCCCUGAAAUGUGACAUCAAAAUUAACUUUAAUGUGUUUAUGAAAUGAUUGUGCCUGCUGGGAAUGCUCUGUGGGAAU